rnacentral:lncRNA from 1 species
CUGAUUGCACGUUCAGGCAACCAGAUAGGACGGAAAGCACCUUCUGGAAAAAUACAAGCAUGACCUCUGCCCCACAUAAUCACUGGAUCUGGGCCUUUCCAUUGACCAGUCUGUAAGUCUUUCCACAAAACUCUGCCUAAAGGGCCUGUUGUUGUGGAAGACAUAUGUCUCUCAGCUGCAGUGUGACCUUCUGCGUCACAAUUUUAAAAAAUUUAAAACAAACAAGGCAUGGUUGAGGCUAUUUUGGGGAGUCAUAAACCUAUUCCCCCCCUUUUAAUUUUUGUAAUUGCAGCUUAAUAGAUAAAUGAGCUCGUUCCACAUUGUCUUGACCUUGGGGGUUAUAAGGAAUUCCUGUUUUAUGAUUAAUUUGAAAUUCUUGGCAAAAUUGUUGAAAAGAAGAGCUUGCGUAAGCUGGUGCAUUAUCUGUUUUAAUCUGUAAAGGGCAUCCUAACACAGCAAAGGCUGCUAGGCAAUGAGAAAUUACCUGUUGAGUAUUUUCUUUUGUACGUGCUGUAUCAAAAAUAAAUCUGGAAUGUGUAUCAACUAUCACAUGUACAUAACAUUGCUUACCGAAUUGAGGAAUAUGAGUUACAUCCAUUUGCCAUAUUUGAUUUGGUUUUAAUCCUCAGGGAUUUACCCCUGAUGGCAGAGAUGGAGAGUGAAUAACACACUUAGGGCAGUGACUUACAAUUUGACGAGCUUGUUCUCUGGUAAUAUUAAAUUUUUUACAUAAGCUAGAAGCAUUCUGAUGAUGUAAGGAAUGUGAGGCUUGUGCACUAUCAUAUGGAGACAUCUGUUGACACACAGCUACUAAUUUAUCAAUCUUGUCAUUAUCUGAAGCUAAAGGUCCUGGAAGAUUAGUGUGAGCCCCUAUGUGUCCUAUGAAACAUGGGUAUUUUUGCAUUUGUAUUGCCUUUUGUAGAUUAUGAAAUAAUUUAAAUCACUCUUGUGAUGAAGUAUAUCCAAUAACUGAAGUUUCAAUAUUUUUGGUAACUCUGACUGCAUAUGAGCUGUCAGAAUAAAUAUUAGUAGGCUCAUUUGUAAAGUAAUUUAAGGCACAGAUGAGAGCUUGAAGCUCCGCUCUUUGGGCAGAAGUAUAUGAAGUUUGUAUUACCUCUAUGUGAACAUGACUAUAAAAACCUGCUUUACCUGAGCUUGAACCAUCAGUGAACACCGAUAGGGCUCCAUCUAUGGGCUGGGCAAGUACAAUUUUUGGAGAAAUAAGCGGUGUUAAUGAUGCAAAUUUAAUACUUUUAUCACGAGGGUAAUAACUAUCUAUCUGACCAGGAAAAUCAGCAAAAGCUAUCUGCCAUAAGCUAGAAGUUUGAAAAAGCCAAUUAUUUUGUUGAACAGAAAAUGGAAUAAUUAUAAUAUCAGGUUCAGAUCCAAUUAAUUGUAAAACUCUCAUUCUACCUUUAAUUACUAAUUGAGCAAUAGAAUCAUGAAAAGGAAUUAAUGUUUUUGGGGGGGAGUGGGCUAAAUAAAUCCACUCAAUAACUCCCAAUCUUUGCCAUAUGGCUCCCAUUGGUGUAUACACAGUUGGAAAUAUUAAUAAAUACACUAUUUCUUUAGGAUUAACUCUAGUAAGUUGUGCAUUUUUAAUUGCACUUUCAACCUUUUUUAAAGCUUUUCUAGCCUCUAUUGUCAGCUGAGGAGGAGAGGUUGGGGAAGGAUUUCCUUGUAAUAUCUGACUUAAAUCAGAAGUAGUUAGUUUUAAGGAUGGCCUCAGCCAAUUAAUAUCUCCUAAUAAUUUUUGAAAGUCAUUAAGGAUAUGUAACUCCUUAACCUUUAUCUGAAGAUUUUGAGGAUGGAUUGUGCGUCCUUGAAUUAUCUGACCUAAAUAUUGAAAGGGAGGCAUUUUUUGUAUCUUUUGAGGAGCAAUGCAUAAGCCCAUUGCUGUAAGUGAAGCCUCUGAGUAAAAAUUUCUGAAAGUACUUCUGGAUUAGCAUGAGCCAAUAAUAUAUCAUCCAUAAAAUGAAUAAUAUAUACAUCAGGAACGUUAUUUCUUAUAGGAACUAUUGCCUGACCUACAUAUUUUUGGCAUAAGGUAGAACUAUUACGCAUUCCUUGGGGGAGGACCUUCCGGCAAUAUCUUUUAACAGGUUGUUUAAAAUUAAUUGCUGGGACAGUGGAGGCAAAUUUUUCACAAUCUUCAGGAUGUAACCUUAUUGAGAUCUAUUACCAUCAAGCUAUAGUUUAAAGGGAUGGCUGUGGGGGAAGGAAGUCCUGGCUGUAAUGAUCCCAUAGGCUGAAUUGCAUGAUUUAUCGCCCUUAAAUCCUGUAGUAAUCUCCAAUUACCUGACAUUUUUCUUAAUAACAAAAAUGGGGGUGUUCCAAGGACUAAGUGUUCAUUCCAUAUGACCAGCCUGAAGUUGUUCCUCAACUAACCUAUAAAUUAUCUUAAGUUUUUCCCCUGAGAUGGGCCACUGAGAAAUCCAUAUAGGCUCCUCUGUAAGCCAGGUUAUCUUUUCAGCUGUCUUUUGGAUUGGGGAAACACUCAGGUCCCUAGUAAAAAUUUUGGUUUGUAGUAUUUACUAAUCUCUGUCGAGGAGGCUGAUUUGCAAGCAGAUACUCUCUUUGAAAGAUUCCCUUAUUAUCUCCAGGAAGAAACCCUUGAUUAACUUCCUCAAUUGAUCUUGUUUGUUAAUUUGCUCAAAAACUGGGAAAAGUUGGAAUUCACUGAUAUCCUCCCCGGCUUCUUGUGCUUUUCUAAUACCUCAUUGGAACCAGGUAAGAAAAGUCAUUGCUAACUCAGAGUACCUGUUAAAUUUUGUCUUUUUAACAGACAAUGGCUGAAUUCUAAUAGCCUGGGCAGGCGGUGUUAAACACAGCCUGUUGAAAUUUCCCUUAAGUCCUGGAUUUCAUUGUCCGAUUCCUCUCCCUCAGGCUACGACUCUUCGGUAGAAUCUCCGCUGUAGCCAUCUUGAACCUGGGCUUGUAAGCCACGUGGGAGAGAAGGGCUUUCUAUCUCUCUAGGAAUCUCUUCCAGACUUUCCUCUCUGGGAGGAGAACCCUCUAUCUCUCCGGAGGCCUCCUCUCUUUGACCUUCAUCUCUAUGAUCUUCCUUCCUACUCUGGCUCUGUUCAGGCAAGCUUACAUUUUUUACUUUUGGUUUCCCUUUUUAUCUUUAACCGGCUUAAAGGAAAGGAGAUUUCCUUAGCCUCAGGCAGUUUUUCCAUUUGAAUAGACUUAAUGGCUCUCUGAAUACCUUUCAAUAGAUCUUCAGGGGGUCAUGGACUAUGGCCCAUGUAAUCAAAGAGACAAAUUUCUAAAGCAGUCCAAACCUUUUCUAUAUUUUCAAAAUUUCCAGGUAAUUCAUCAGAAAGGCAGAUUCUAUGUAAUUUCCUUCCUAAUUUGUCC